rnacentral:rRNA from 1 species
AGUGAACGCUGGCGGCAGGCCUAACACAUGCAAGUCGAACGGCAGCACAGUAAGAGCUUGUUCUUACGGGUGGCGAGUGGCGGACGGGUGAGGAAUACAUCGGAAUCUACUUUUUCGUGGGGGAUAACGUAGGGAAACUUACGCUAAUACCGCAUACGACCUACGGGUGAAAGCAGGGGAUCUUCGGCCCUUGCGCGAUUGAAUGAGCCGAUGUCGGAUUAGCUAGUUGGCGGGGUAAAGGCCCACCAAGGCGACGAUCCGUAGCUGGUCUGAGAGGAUGAUCAGCCACACUGGAACUGAGACACGGUCCAGACUCCUACGGGAGGCAGCAGUGGGGAAUAUUGGACAAUGGGCGCAAGCCUGAUCCAGCCAUACCGCGUGGGUGAAGAAGGCCUUCGGGUUGUAAAGCCCUUUUGUUGGGAAAGAAAAGCAGCAGGUUAAUACCCCGCUGUUCUGACGGUACCCAAAGAAUAAGCACCGGCUAACUUCGUG